GACGAACGCUGGCGGCACGCCUAACACAUGCAAGUCGAACGGAGAACUUUUGGUUUACUAUAAGUUCUUAGUGGCGGACGGGUGAGUAACACGUGAGCAACCUGCCUCUGAGAGAGGGAUAGCUUCUGGAAACGGAUGGUAAUACCUCAUAACAUAACGAAGCCGCAUGACUUUGUUAUCAAAGAUUUAUCACUCAGAGAUGGGCUCGCGUCUGAUUAUAUAGUUGGUGAGGUAACGGCUCACCAAGUCGACUAUCAGUACCCGGACUGAUAGGUUGAACGGCCACAUUGGGACUGAGACACGGCCCAUACUCCUACGGGAGGCAGCAGUGGGGAAUAUUGCACAAUGGGGGAAACCCUGAUGCAGCGAUGCCGCGUGAGGGAAGAAGGUUUUCGGAUUGUAAACCUCUGUUGACAGGGACGAUAAUGACGGUACCUGUUCAGAAAGCUCCGGCUAACUACGUGCCAGCAGCCGCGGUAAUACGUAGGGAGCGAGCGUUGUCCGGAAUUACUGGGUGUAAAGGGAGCGUAGGCGGGCACGCAAGUCAGAUGUGAAAUGCAUGGGCUUAACCCAUGAGCUGCAUUUGAAACUGCGAUUCUUGAGUGAAGUAGAGGUAAGCGGAAUUCCUGGUGUAGCGGUGAAAUGCGUAGAUAUCAGGAGGAACACCAGUGGCGAAGGCGGCUUACUGGACGAUUACUGACGCUGAGGCUCGAAAGCGUGGGGAGCAAACA
rnacentral:rRNA from 1 species